AGCUGGCAUGGUGUAGUUGUUUAAGCAUUGGAUUACAACUCCUAGGAACCAGGGUUCGAAUCCCUGCUCAGCUA